rnacentral:lncRNA from 1 species
GCCAUGUCUCCCGAGCAUAGAAUCCUGAUGGACCUAUGAUGUGUUCCCAACUGACUUCAACAAGACUCAAAGCAAGCACAAGUAAGGUGAGCUAUGCCAGAGAAUCAACCCUGGAAUCUUAUUCAACUCAGAUUUAUGACCGGCCCACGUAAGAUUCCACUGUGGGUGAGGAGACCCUCCUUUACAGCUUUCCACUCACUCUGGGGUCCAGAUUGCAUUUCUACAGAAACUGUAGCACCUCAGAACACUC